UAUUAUAUUUAAUGUUAAUUGUUUACGAGGGUAAUAAUAGGAAGUUCUUGAAACUCAAAGAAUUUGGCGGUGUUUUAGUCUUUUCAGAGGAAUCUGUCCUGUAAUUGAUAGUACACGAUUUAAUUUACUUGAUUUUGUUAUCAGUUUAUAUACCGCCGUCAUAAGAUUAUUUUUGUUUGAGAAUGAAAUUUUCUUGUUUUUAUAAUAAAAAGUAUGUCAGGUCAAGGUGUAGCUUAUAAUUAAGUAGAGAUGGAUUACAAUAAUUAUAAUUAUAUGGAUAAUUAUUUUAAAUUAAUUUGAAGGUGGAUUUGAUUGUAAAUUUAUUUUUAAUUUUUAUAUUGAUUAGAGCUCUAGAAUGUGUACAUAUCGCCCGUCGCUCUCGUUAUUAAGGUGAG
rnacentral:rRNA from 1 species